AUUGAACGCUGGCGGCAGGCCUAACACAUGCAAGUCGAGCGAGCGGCGGACGGGGGCGUAAUGUAUGGGGGCUGCCCGUGAGAGGGGGGUAACUCCUGUGAACGGGAGCUAAUACAGCAUACUAUCGGAUAACCCAUAUGGGAUUAGCUAGUGGGGGGGGUAAUGGCUCACCUAGGCGACGAUCCCUAGCUGGUCUGAGAGGAUGAUCAGCCACACUGGGACUGAGACACGGCCCAGACUCCUACGGAGGCAGCAGUGGGGAAUAUUGCACAAUGGGCGCAAGCCUGAUGCAGCCAUGCCGCGUGUAUGAAGAAGGCCCUAGGGUUGUAAAGUACUUUCAGUCGGGAGGCGUUACCGACAGAAGAAGCACCGGCUAACUCCGUGCCAGCAGCCGCGGUAAUUC
rnacentral:rRNA from 1 species